rnacentral:rRNA from 1 species
GACGAACGCUGGCGGCGUGCUUAACACAUGCAAGUCGAACGGAAAGGCCCUGCUUUUGUGGGGUGCUCGAGUGGCGAACGGGUGAGUAACACGUGAGUAACCUGCCCUUGACUUUGGGAUAACUUCAGGAAACUGGGGCUAAUACCGGAUAGGAGCUCCUGCUGCAUGGUGGGGGUUGGAAAGUUUCGGCGGUUGGGGAUGGACUCGCGGCUUAUCAGCUUGUUGGUGGGGUAGUGGCUUACCAAGGCUUUGACGGGUAGCCGGCCUGAGAGGGUGACCGGCCACAUUGGGACUAAGAUACGGCCCAGAAGCCUACGGGAGGCAGCAGUGGGGAAUAUUGCACAAUGGGCGGAAGCCUGAUGCAGCAACGCCGCGUGCGGGAUGACGGCCUUCGGGUUGUAAACCGCUUUCGCCUGUGACGAAGCGUGAGUGACGGUAAUGGGUAAAGAAGCACCGGCUAACUACGUG